UGGCUCAGGAUGAACGCUAGCGGCAGGCUUAACACAUGCAAGUCGAGGGGUAUAAGUCUUCGGAUUUAGAGACCGGCGCACGGGUGCGUAACGCGUAUGCAAUCUACCUUUUACAGAGGGAUAGCCCAGAGAAAUUUGGAUUAAUACCUCAUAGCAUAGCAGCUUCGCAUGAAGCCACUAUUAAAGUCACAACGGUAAAAGAUGAGCAUGCGUCCCAUUAGCUAGUUGGUAAGGUAACGGCUUACCAAGGCUACGAUGGGUAGGGGUCCUGAGAGGGAGAUCCCCCACACUGGUACUGAGACACGGACCAGACUCCUACGGGAGGCAGCAGUGAGGAAUAUUGGACAAUGGGCGCAAGCCUGAUCCAGCCAUGCCGCGUGCAGGAUGACGGUCCUAUGGAUUGUAAACUGCUUUUAUACGAGAAGAAACACUCCUUCGUGAAGGAGCUUGACGGUAUCGUAAGAAUAAGGAUCGG
rnacentral:rRNA from 1 species